rnacentral:rRNA from 1 species
UACGAAGGGUGCAAGCGUUACUCGGAAUUACUGGGCGUAAAGCGUGCGUAGGUGGUUCGUUAAGUCUGUCGUGAAAGCCCCGGGCUCAACCUGGGAAUGGCGAUGGAUACUGGCGGGCUAGAGUGCGGUAGAGGAGAGUGGAAUUCCCCGGUGUAGCAGUGAAAUGCGUAGAGAUCGGGAGGAACAUCAGUUGCGAAGGCGGCUCUCUGGACCAGCACUGACACUGAGGCACGAAAGCGUGGGGAGCAAACAGG